rnacentral:rRNA from 1 species
AUUGAACGCUAGCGGGAUGCCUUACACAUGCAAGUCGAACGGAGUGGCGAACGGGUGAGUAAUGGAAAGGAACGUGCCCAGUAGCGGGGGAUAAGUACGCGAAAGCGUAGCUAAUACCGCAUCCUCUUGCCGUGGCAGAUACCGGAUUAGCUAGUGGGUGGGGUAACGGCUAACCAAGCCGACGAUCCGUAGCUGGUUUGAGAGGACGACCAGCCACACUGGGACUGAGACACGGCCCAGACUCCUACGGGAGGCAGCAGUGGGGAAUUUUGGACAAUGGGGGAAACCCUGAUCCAGCCAUCCCGCGUGUGCGAUGAAGGCCUUCGGGUUGUAAAGCACUUUUGGCAGGAAAGCGGUACCUGCAUAAUAAGCACCGGCUAACUACGUGCCAGCAGCCGCGGUAAUAC